UUUCCCAAAUAGUCCAUAUACAACGUUUAUGGCAAUCUAUUGAAACGGUAGCUAUCUUGUCCAUGGAAAAGAGUCACGUUUCCGGUCGGAAUUAAAUUUAAUUCGAAAGUUGGAACAAAAUUUGAUGUCAAACAAUUAUUUUAAACAGAUGUAGUUGAAGAUAUGUCACCCCACGUAGAGUGAAUAUCCCUUCCUUUUUCGCCUGACCAUAGUAAUAGGGGAUAUUCAAACCACGA